GAGACAAGACAAUAGGGAGAGGGAAAGGGGAAAGGGAAAGGUAGUGGGAGAGGAGAAAGGCUUCCUGCUCACCUAAGAUGCUCAGUCCAGGUGAUCUCUGAGCCCCUGGCUGCUGUAAAUGUUUUUUCCAGGAGGUUCUUUCACUCCUGUGUUAUUUCUUGGUUUUGAACCACACGGACAAGGGAGGGGCUGGACUGGGGGGUGAAAUGGGGCUGUGUCACCCUGGGUUUGGUGUCCAGGCCUGAGCCUGGUGGGGUAGCCCUGGGACUGUCAGGAUGCAGCAGCCCAGCCUUGUCCCUCCUGCCCUUUGGAACCCUCCCCAAGGGGCCUGGAUGAACCAGCUCCAUUUGCCCGAGGCUGGCAGGGCCUGCAGGGACCCUCUGGCUGCUCUGCUGCUGGAGUUGGGUGUUGUUCCUGAGCACACGUGUCCCAGGCUCUGCCCCACCACCACACAGCUCCUUCCUUCCAGGUAUCCUGGUCCCUUCCAGAGCUGUAGGGAGACAGAAGCUCCAGCCUCUGUCCCUUGGGCCAGGCAGCCUGGUCCCCCUGUCCCAAACCAUGUGUCACAUCCCCAGUGGAGCAGAGCUGGUGUCAGCAGGCUUGGAAAUGAGGGGGGGAAUGAAAACUGGACAGUUGUGCCUUCACCUCCCAGCUCCAAACCCCAGGCUCAGCUCUCCUCCUGCCUCCAGGUUGGCUCCAAUGUCACAGUUUCCCAUCCAGCAGUUUGGGUCAAACUUCUCUUCAACCUUUCCCACUCCAUCCCUGGAAGCUGCAAUUCCCACCUGGCUGAGGCAGUGAAGCCUGGGACAGAAUCCCACCCGGACACAGGGAGCUGCCCAGAAAUAGGAUGGCAAGAGGCCACUUCCCAAAUACCCUGGAGCUUUGAGAGCACCAGGCCUGGCCAAACACUCCCCUUCCUUUGGCCCUUGACAUGUGGCUGCAGGGCACAGACUGCUGAGUGAACGGGGCGGUUUUUGGGGGAGCUGAGGGCUGGUUGGAGCAGUCACCCAUUGCUUUGCCCUUUGGCUCCCUCCCAGUUGGUGCCUCUGGGUCACCGAGGCUGGAGACCUCCACAGUGCGGACGUACUCGUGCUGAGGGUCAGCGAGACGGGACCCCCGGCCCGGCACAUCCCCGCUCUCGAGUGGCCCCGUGCUGGCUGCCUUUCAGGACAAGAGCCCAGCCCGUGCCUGUCCCUCGGCCCGACCCUCCAGAAGCUGCAGUUUCACUGCUCUGGACCGACCAGGACCUGUCCCUCCUGCUUGUGAACCCGCCGCUCCCCCCGUGGCUCCCACCCCGGCCUGCCCCCCCGCCCUGCCCUCACUGCCCGGGCUGGGGAUGUGCUCCAGGGGCCAUCCCAGCGCGGGGCCACCCCGUGGGGCCACAGAGACGCCCCAAAGAGCGGGCUGUGACCUUUGGGACCCUUUCUCCCGCCUGGGUCAUGGUGCCAAACCCCCGUGGGCCGACCCGCCCGAGCCCCGGGCGUGGGGAUGCUGCUGCCCACGGGACUCGGAGCCGAGGCAGAUUCAGGCUCGUGCCGGGCAGGGGCUGCCCCGUGGGCAGUGCCAGGGCCGGUGCUGUGUGUGGGGUGGGGCCGCGGGGGGUGAGGAGGGCGGUGACUGCCCAGGUGCUCAUUUUGGUGCUGUGGGGUGCCCCCGGAGCGGGAGGGCCGUGCCUGCCUGACAGGGCUGCGUGGGAAGGGCUGGCACUGCCCGCUCUGGCUCCGUGCCGGGACGGUGCCGGCACCCACGGGAGAGGGGGACCCUCCUUGGGGGCCCGGGGGGACGCACGGGAGCACCCAGAGCCCCCCCAGGGAUGUGCCCACCCAUUCCCCUCCAGGUGCAGAGGAGAUGCUCUCCCCUCCUGCCUCCAGGCUACGGGCGGGGAUCAAUCCAGGAGACUCUUAACUCUUCCCAUUUCUCCCCCCUGUAGGGUAGGAUCUCUUCGUCUCCUCAUGCCACGUUUGCCUUGUGUGGCCCCUAUUUCUGAUGUGAUAUUUAUUGAUGGCUGGAAUGACCUUAUACUUAUCAUGUGCUGUCUGGAAGUGCAAUAUCUGAGAGGCUCUACAGUCACGGCGUCUUUUCGGUGUAUUAUUUGCCUAAUACAGUAUUAAAUAUUUUUUUAAUUUGAAGAGUCAGUGAGCCCUUUAUAUCGAUGCCCUAUUUCUUUCGUCAUAUUAUUGGUACUGCAUGGACUCCAAACCCUGGAUCGGGUCAGGAAAGGAUGUAUGUGUGUUCCAAUAAACAGGAUUUUAAAACA